rnacentral:rRNA from 1 species
UACGGAGGGUGCAAGCGUUGCUCGGAAUCACUGGGCGUAAAGGGUGCGUAGGCGGCCGCGCAAGUCUGGCGUGAAAGCCCCGGGCUCAGCCCGGGAAGGGCGCUCGAAACGGCGCGGCUCGAGUGCUGGAGGGGAGAGUGGAAUUCCUGGUGUAGCGGUGAAAUGCGUAGAUAUCAGGAGGAAGACCGGUGGCGAAAGCGGCUCUCUGGACGGCAACUGACGCUGAGGCGCGAAAGCGUGGGGAGCAAACAGG